rnacentral:rRNA from 1 species
AUAGCUCAAAUUUGAAAUCUGGCUUUUUUAGAGUCCGAAUUGUAAUUUGUAGAAGAUACUUCAGGUAUGGUGCUAGUCUAAGUUCCUUGGAAUAGGACGUCAUAGUGGGUGAGAAUCCCGUAUGUGACUAUGCAUUUAUGCCUAUAUGAAGUUCUUUCAAUGAGUCGAGUUGUUUGGGAAUGCAGCUCAAAAUGGGUGGUAUAUUUCAUCUAAAGCUAAAUAUUGGCCAGAGACCGAUA